CCCCCGCCGCAGGGACCGGCCGGCGUUGAGAGGCGGAGACUUUGGCAAAUGCCGGGCACCGCCUCGGGCAUUGCACUUGUCUCGGUAUGACAGUGCUGGCGCAACUCUGCGGCGGGCGCC
rnacentral:pre_miRNA from 13 species